UCAAGAGCUCAUUUAACGAGCAUGUCUUUAAUGUUUCUUAUCUAUUCUUCAUCAUGUACAAAAGUCAGCAUUAGUAAUUGGGUUGGUUGGCUUAGGCGUGUCCAACAUGCUGAAGAAAGAAAAGAAAGAAGCAAAAGCAAGAGUUAUUCUGCUAUGGCAGUGCUGAAAGGAAAAAGGAAAGAAACAAGCAAGGCCAUUCGGCCAAUGAGAGCUAAAGAAAGAGAUUUUGGUUGAAGCAAAGUCAAAAUAAGUGGCUUGCACUUAUUGUGACUUGAUGUGAAGAGUGUGAAAGGGAGAAAAGAAGAAAAGGUGAAAGAAAUAAAAGGGUAGAGGCCAUUCGGCCAUUUGGGCAGAGGAAGAAAAGAAGUGAAGUCCCAAGAGUGUGGUGAGGACUAGUGCAGUCUUGAAGAACUGCGUGAGUGAGAGCCAGCAAGAGAGAAGAGAAAAAUAGAGAGAGUAAGAGAAAAUACACAGUGAGGAAGAAAGCAGUCAGGGGUUCAUUUGAACCCCUGCGCAUAACCUGCGGCUGAUCCUACCUUCAACCCCAUUUCAAUGGACCUAUGGAGUACCUACACAUGACAUACCACAACUCUAUCAGUUUUACUACUGGCUUGACAUUUUCCUUUACCAAAGUGCUAGGGUAGAAUCUCUUGAGAGUUAGACUGAGCUUUCUAAUCAUUCAUCGUUAGAAAGCUCUAGUCUUCCUCUUAGGAGUUCCUCUCACUCUCGCUUCCACAAUCUUCACCGUUCAUAGUCUCCUUGAAGUCACUAAACCUUUUUGUUGAGUUUUACUACGUCAUACACCUUAUGUUCGGUUAAACACACAAAACGGUGGUAGAGAUUCCACUAGUGACUUGUCAACAGAUCAACAUCAAGUGAUAAGGAAGGAGGUAAUGACCUACUACCAUGACCAUCAUUCCCCUCGAUAUUUUAAUUUUGUUGUUGUGUAUUAUGAUGCCGUAGAUUGAAUUAGUUGAGUGUGUGUUUUGUGAUUAUGUUUGGAGUCUCACAUCAAGAUUUAUUGUGCUGAUCUAAGUUUUAGAAAUAACUACAAAGAACUUCAAAUG